AACCUGCUCCUGCCAGAGCUUUCCAUAUAUUUUAAUUUUGGGGGGGUCAAAAAGAGAGCUGAGUUCGGAUGGCCUACCCCCGCCAGGCCUGGCAUGAUGCUGCUCAUUACAGUACCCACCUACCCCCACCCCCCGUUAUCUGGGAAUCGUUCAUUUAGCGAAUGUCGACCCGAGAAGCCGCUGUGCAGGCGCGAAGGACCCUAAGGUACAAACAACAGUGAUUAUCAUACAGCUGGAAAGAAAGGCAAAGAAAAUGCUUUUUAUUUUAGAUUGGGCAAUUAAGCAGAAACUGCAGUUUUAGUAUGAAGAACGGAGGUGGAAGAACAAGCCGAAUCAGAAGACGAAAACUCUUCACAAGUUCUGAAUCAAGAGGAGUGAAUGAGAGCUACAAGCCUGAAUUUAUAGAGCUUAAGAAGUGGCUGAAAGAUAGGAAGUUUGAAGAUACAAACUUAAUACCUGCUCGUUUUCCAGGUACAGGAAGAGGGCUGAUGAGCAAAACAUCCCUACAGGAGGGACAGAUGAUUAUCUCAUUGCCUGAGAGUUGCCUGCUCACCACGGACACAGUGCUUAGAAGCUACUUAGGGGCGUAUAUUGCCAAGUGGCAGCCUCCUCCAUCUCCUGUGCUGGCUCUUUGCGCCUUUUUAGUUUCAGAAAGGCAUGCUGGGGACCGGUCUCCCUGGAAGCCUUACCUGGAGGUUUUGCCCAAGGCCUACACCUGCCCUGUUUGUUUGGAGCCAGAAGUGGUGAAUCUUCUUCCCAAACCUUUGAAAGCAAAGGCCAGAGAGCAGAGAACCCACGUGCAGGAGUUCGUUUCUUCCUCCAGAGACUUUUUCUCUUCCCUGCAGCCUCUGUUUUCAGAGGCCGUCGAGAGCAUCUUUAGCUACAGCGCGCUCCUGUGGGCUUGGUGCACCGUGAACACCAGGGCUGUGUACAGGAAGCGUGCGCCGAGGCAGUGCUUUUCCGCAGAGCCAGACACCUGCGCGCUCGCCCCGUUCCUCGAUCUGCUGAACCACAGCCCCGACGCCCAGGUAAAAGCAGCGUUUAAUGAGGAAACUCGCUGUUAUGAAAUUAGAACAGCUGUGAGCUGUGGAAAACACAAAGAGGUGCUCAUCUGCUAUGGCCCUCACGAUAACCACCGCCUGCUCCUCGAGUAUGGAUUUGUUUCCAUCCGCAAUCCUCAUGCUUGUGUUUAUGUCUCAAAAGAUGUACUUGUUAAAUAUCUUCCAUCAACAGAUAAACGGAUGAACCAAAAGAUUUCCAUUUUAGAGGAUCAUGACUUUAUAGAAAACUUGACGUUUGGAUGGGAUGGACCGUCUUGGCGGUUACUCACAGCUCUUAAGUUGUUAUGUCUGGAAGCUGAAGAAUUGACAUGCUGGAAAAAAGUACUUAUUGGGGAAAUAAUUUCAGAUACAAAUGAGAAGACAAGUUUGGACAUAGCCCAGAAAAUAUGCCAUUAUUUCAUCAAGGAGAGUAAGGCUGUGCUUCAAAAGAUUUCUCAUAUGAAAGAUGAAGAAGUGGCUUUGAUAAACCAACUAACUUUGGUAGAAACACUGUGGACAGAAGAGCUGAAGAUUCUCCAGGCCUCUGCUGAGACCUUAACCAGUUUGCAGACAGCUUUUACGUAACUUCACCGAAGUGCAGGUGAUCACCUCCAAUGGAUGUUUAUUCUUCUGGAUAAAAAUACGACUAAGGAUGGUGGCGGCCAUCCUUGGGAUGCUGGGAUGCCCUCUCACGCGGGCUGCAUUGGAGGCUACGUGCUUCUCUGGUGCAGGACAUCAUGUAACCAGCAAAUGAGAAUCGUCUGAUCAAACUGAGUCCCAGAGAGCAGAAACGAUGCACCUGAGGGCCAGGAAGUGAAUGGUGACAGGUCUCCCAACCCGUGAUUUUUUUCCCAUGCUGUAGCUGGGAGCCUGUACUGGCCCACAGGAACCAGACUUCUUUAUCACCAGUAGACCCUCCUUCGGUACAUGAGAGCAUGUUUGGCCAAGGUUGACGGACUGGAAAGCAGGAUCCAGUGGCUCACCUACAGAAGGAGAUGGAGAAGGAGGAAAUACUAAGCCAUGAAGAUCAUUGAUAUUUCCUGAAGUUAUAUUGCUAUUUCCUGUCUGAAGAGCUGUGAGUGUAUGUCUCUAGAACACUGCUCCUAAAAUCCUACGGUGACAUCAGGAUCUGAACACGGAUGGCUUUGAUGACAUUUGAAGGUCCCUGCCAUUUGUAACCUUCCAUGAUUGUUGGGAAAUCACUGGGGAGAAGAGGAUGUCACGUAAGGUGUUUUUCCAUGUUGGAGUUAGGAUUCGAGCCCAGGGCUACCCCAUUAUAAGGCCCAUGAUGCUGCCAGGACCACUGGAGUGGAGAUUCCUGUGGACGCAGCCAGCAGAAGGGACUGCGGAACCAGACAGUGGGAAGAGGGAGAUCAGACUGUGUACUAUGCGGUGGAGUAAACCCACGCCGGUGAAGCCAGAGCAGCUGCGGCUUGCCGUGUCCUUUCACUGCUAACUGUCAUCUGCACUCCGGACUUUUGGGCAGAUGGAGACCCUGACAGAAGCCCAGAGAAAUUAAGCAACAUACCCUCCUUCUGACAAGCUUUCCAGAACCUUGAAUUCCCAGAGUUAAGUAUGGUGACUCGAAGAAACUUGGAGGUGGGGAAAAUGAGACUCAGAGAAAUUAAGCAGUUUGAUGAACCACACUAGAUUCCCUGUGAAUAAGACCAGAGUAGUCUGUUGGAGGAUGAACAACCACAUGGAACCAAGAUGCCAGUGAUGGGCCUGCAUGAAUCCUGUACCAUCACCUUCACUAAAGUUUCUCUCCCUUGAAGCCCUCUGUAGAACAAGACACAUCUCAAAGCUUCUCUCUGAUUCUUCUGCUUCUCAAGGAAAUGACCUGGAAGUUUUCUGUAACAAGAUUGUACUGAAUAGUGUUUCCCCAAAAUUCAUGACUACCUGGAACCUCCAAGUGUGACCUUAUUUGGAAAUGGGGUCUUUGCAGAUAUAAUUAGUUAAGAAGAGGUGAUACUGGAGUAGGGUGGCCCUUAGAUUCAGUGACUGGUGUCCUUAUAAGAAGAGAAGAGACACCUGCAGAGACAGAGGGAAGAAGGCCAUGUGAAGAUGAGGCAGAGAUUGGAGUGAUGCUGCUAUAAGUUGAGGAGUAUCUAAAGCCACCAGAAGCUGCAAGAGGAAAGGAAGGAUUCUUUUCUAGAGCUUUCACAGGGAGCGUGGCCCUCCUAACAUCUUGAUUUUGGACUUCCAGCAUCCAGAACUAUGGAAGAAUAAGUUUCUGUCAUUUAAGGCCCUCCAUUUUUGGUUAUCUGCUAUGGAAGCCCCUGGAAACAAACACCAAGAGGUUUUAGUGGGGCUUUUCAGUUGCCCACCCUGCCUAUUACCAGCCCCCACCCAGCACCUCUUCCCAGUGUUUCUAAUAAAGCUGGGAGGGGAGAAGGAGGACAUUGGAGUAAGAGACGUCCCUCUCAACAUGAAGACAAGCGAGACAACCCAGGGAAAUACUAAAAGAUUGGAGGUGCCCGAAAGAAAGGGAGACUUGCCUUCCCCCGCUGGACAUUGGCUUAAGAAGUGGACUUGCCGAUUUGCCUCUCUGAGAGACAUGGGAGGGGAGGCAGCCUGGACAGAGGGUGGGCGUGAAGCAGGCUGAGUUUCUUGUGAGUCAUGUAGACAUCCCAGAAAGAAAGCUGAGCUUGAACCAUCUUGCUGGUACCCAGCUAAGAGAAGUGUCCAUCAGGCACAGGAAUCCUAGUAGUAAGAGGCUUUGGGAUUUUCCCCUGAUGUAGGGAACAAUGGGGCAGGGAUGAAAGAGGUCAACCCAGGACCAGGUUCUGAAUGUCAGGGAAUUGUGCAGUAGGUGGGGGCAGAGAAGGGAGCUGACAGAGCCCUCAGAGCUCAUACAUGCACCCCACAAGACAGCCAGCAUUUGGAUGCUGCCAUUCAGAGGAAUCAUAAGCCAGGCAGCCAGCAGAGCUUCAAGAACCACCCAAGAGAGGAUGCCAGUAGCGACCACUUAAGUGAAUAGGCCUGUGUCCCUUUCUCGUGCCUCCUCGCUGCCCCAUCCACUGAGAGAGCUCAGGCAGCAGGGUGUGGGCAUUGUAGAAGCAGAUCUCACCCACCCUUCAGCAUUUAAGGUCCCAGCUCAAGUCCGCAUAGAGGGAAGGAGGACAUGGGAUUUACAUCAAGAUUGAGAUUGAAGCUUUGGAAUGCACCAGUGACUGGGAAGGUGUGGAAUCUGCCCAAGAUACUGUUAAGGGGUGUUCAAAGGAUGAUUCAGCAGAGCAAAGUGAGAAGGGCAGUGUUUAGAAGAAAUAAAAGCAUGUUGUGUUUGUAACCCCAUGUUCUGAGACUCCUUAGUAAACUGGUUACAGUCUCAAGAGUUUUUGCUUUAUUUAUGUAUUUACUCACGUGAUAGGGACACGACCAGCAGUGAAUGGACUCGUCUGCUUUUCCUCUUCUCAUUUUCAUCUGCAAGCCUGUUGGGAAAGGGACAGAAUCAUUGGUGUUUCCCCUCAAGACUCUUAGUUCUUUGAGACCAAGAACUUGGGCUUGUUUCUCUGUCUACCUUGCAGUUGUCAGAUGAGCCCAGUGAGUCCCAGUUGAGGAAUUCAGGAAUGGAUCAAAGAAUAAAUUGAGAAUAAAGACUGAGAAUAAGGACGUAAGACACCUCACCUACAUUUCAAAAGGACCCUCCAACCCCGCUUUCUAGGCAUUUUACCUCAGGAGUCAGCAUCACCGUUCCGGUGUGGAGGAUGGGAAGGCAGUAGAGUGACGAUACCAUUCUGUGGAAGACGGGGGGCUUGGGGGGCUGAGGUUCCCUCAUCCCAAGUGAAUGCCAAU